rnacentral:rRNA from 1 species
AUUGAACGCUGGCGGCAUGCCUUACACAUGCAAGUCGAACGGCAGCAUGGGUGCUUGCACCUGAUGGCGAGUGGCGAACGGGUGAGUAAUGCAUCGGAACGUACCCAGUCGUGGGGGAUAACGUAGCGAAAGUUACGCUAAUACCGCAUACGUCCUGAGGGAGAAAGCGGGGGACCGGUAAGGCCUCGCGCGAUUGGAGCGGCCGAUGUCGGAUUAGCUAGUUGGUAGGGUAAAGGCCUACCAAGGCGACGAUCCGUAGCGGGUCUGAGAGGAUGAUCCGCCACACUGGGACUGAGACACGGCCCAGACUCCUACGGGAGGCAGCAGUGGGGAAUUUUGGACAAUGGGCGAAAGCCUGAUCCAGCCAUGCCGCGUGAAGUGAAGAAGGCCUUGGUUGUAAGCUCUUCUAGCCGGAAGAAAUCGCGCAGGAUAAUACUCUGCGUGGAUGACGGUACCGGAAGGAAAGAAGCACCGGCUAACUACGUGCCAGCCGCCGUC